UACGUAGGGGGCAAGCGUUGUCCGGAAUUAUUGGGCGUAAAGAGCGUGUAGGCGGUCCGGUAAGUCAGCUGUGAAAGUCAAGGGCUCAACCCUUGAAAGCCGGUUGAUACUGUCGGGCUAGAGUCCGGAAGAGGGCGAGUGGAAUUCCCGGUGUAGCGGUGAAAUGCGCAGAUAUCGGGAAAGAACACCCGUGGCGAAGGCGGUUCUCUGGGACGGU
rnacentral:rRNA from 1 species